UACGUAGGGUGCGAGCGUUAAUCGGAAUUACUGGGCGUAAAGCGUGCGCAGGCGUUUGUAAGCCAGGUGUGAAAUCCCCGGGCUCAACCUGGGAAUGGCAUUUGGGACUGCAAGGCUGGAGUGCGGCAGAGGAGACUGGAAUUCCUGGUGUAGCAGUGAAAUGCGUAGAUAUCAGGAGGAACACCGAUGGCGAAGGCAGGUCUCUGGGCUGACACUGACGCUCAUGCACGAAAGCGUGGGAGC
rnacentral:rRNA from 1 species